rnacentral:tRNA from 1 species
GGUCCCUUAGCACAGUUGGUAGUGCUUUGUACUUAUGAUGCAAGGGUCCCGAGUUCGAGUCUCGGAGGGACCA